AGAUUGAACGCUGGCGGCAGGCCUAACACAUGCAAGUCGAGCGGCAGCACGGGUACUUGUACCUGGUGGCGAGCGGCGGACGGGUGAGUAAUGCCUAGGAAUCUGCCUGAUAGUGGGGGAUAACGUUCGGAAACGGACGCUAAUACCGCAUACGUCCUACGGGAGAAAGUGGGGGAUCUUCGGACCUCACGCUAUCAGAUGAGCCUAGGUCGGAUUAGCUAGUUGGUAGGGUAAAGGCCUACCAAGGCUACGAUCCGUAACUGGUCUGAGAGGAUGAUCAGUCACACUGGAACUGAGACACGGUCCAGACUCCGUACGGGAGGCAGCAGUGGGGGAAUAGUUGGACAAGUGGGACGAAAGCCUGAUCCAGCCAUGCCGCGUGUG
rnacentral:rRNA from 1 species